UGUAGUCAGCACUUUCGCUUUCUGGGACCGGGUGUCGGCCCGGGCUCUGAGCGGGGAGGAUUACUUCCACUGCAGAGCUGAGGUUUGCUCUCCCUCCGCCCGAGACAACUGCACGGCUCCCUGCAGCCCCAAGACGAAGCUCCGAGGAGCGGGCUGAGACCUUGGUGACGGCUGCUGGGCCCAUCAUUCUCCUGGAAGAUGAGCGCUUGCCCGCUGGACUCCACCAGCGGGAUGGAGGUAAGGGAGCUGCCUGCAACUGGCGAGUACCUGGAGCCGCUGUAACCCUGUCCUGUCCCCACAGGUGCUGCUAC